UCGAGAAUUUUUCUCAAUGGGGGAAACCCUGAAGGAGCGACGCCGCGUGGAGGAUGAAGGUCUUCGGAUUGUAAACUCCUGUCAUUAGGGAACAAGCGCCGUGCGUCAACUGCGCGCGGCUUGAUAGUACCUGAAGAGGAAGAGACGGCUAACUCUGUGCCAGCAGCCGCGGUAAUACAGAGGUCUCAAGCGUUGUUCGGAUUCAUUGGGCGUAAAGGGUGCGUAGGCGGCGGGGCAAGUCAGGUGUGAAAUCUCGGAGCUCAACUCCGAAACUGCACUUGAUACUGCCCUGCUCGAGUACUGGAGAGGAGAUUGGAAUUUACGGUGUAGCAGUGAAAUGCGUAGAUAUCGUAAGGAAGACCAGUGGCGAAGGCGAAUCUCUGGACAGUGACUGACGCUGAGGCACGAAGGCCAGGGGAGCAAACGGGAUUAGAUACCCCCGUAGUCC
rnacentral:rRNA from 1 species